AAGCAUUUUCAAAGUUAAUCAACAGCUCUUCACACCCAGUACUUCAGUAAAGAUGCAUCAGUAAGUGAAGGAGGGAGAAAAGAGGUAUUAUUAGAAAAUACUAUACAAGCCCAUGUUUAAUUCUUUAAAUUUUUUGUGUCCUACACUAUCAAUUCAAACCUUGCUUUAUUUUAUUCUUAAUUUUUUUUGGGGGGUGGGGGGAACAGAGUCUCUUCCACAUAGCCCUGGCUGUCCUGGAACUCACUGUGUAGACCAGGCUGGCCUCAAACUCACAGAGCUGCACCUGCCUCUGCCUCCUGAGUGCUGGGAUUAAAGGCGUGCGCCACCACACCUGGGCCUUGAUUCAUUCUUGGCUGGAAGUGGUAGUCUAAUUAUUUUGAAGGUGAUUUUGUACCAGUGAAACUUUAAGACAUAAAAGUAUUCAUAAAGAAAAAAAGUAUUUCAAGGGUAGGUUAUAAAGACUUGGGCCAGGGUUGUAGUGGCACACACUGUUAAUUCCAACAACAUCCAGGAGGUGGAAGCAGGACAAGUUCUGAACUAAAUGGUUGAGAAUCUAGAUGGAGUCUGAACGGAAUUCACAUAAACUACUGUCACUGUGCUACACUCCUCAAAAAUAAACAAUGGACUGCAGAGAAGGCUCGGCAGCCAAGAGCACUUGUUGCUCCUGCAAAGGACCUGGGAUCAGCUCCCAGCACCACAUCAGGCAGCUCACAACUACCAGCACCUCCAGUACCAGGGAUCCAAUGCCUGCUUCGGGCCUGCGGGCAACUGCACGCAUGUAGUGCGUAUACAGAGAAGCAGCAACACACAUGUGCACAUAAAUAGAAAUACGUUUUUAAAAAGUAACAGAGAAUAAGUUUGGCCAGAGGAACUUCUAUGUUAGAUUGACCUGCGUCAUACUAUUAAAAAUUCAAACCAGGGCUGGAGGAAUGGCUCAGUGGUUAAGAGCCCUGGCUAUUGUUCAGAGGACCCAGGCUCGAUUCCUAGGACCCAUACAGCACAACUGUCUGUUACCUCCAGUUUCAGAUGACCAGCACCCACUUCUGGCCUCCAUGGGUGUCGGGCACAAAAGUGGCGCACUGACACACGCAGGUCAAACACAUACAUACAUUUUAAAAAUCGGUCUUGGUUCAGGGAUACAGCGCAGUAACAGAGCAGCUGCCCAGCAUUCCUGAGACCAGCCUGUGGUUCAGUCGCCAGCACCAAAACAUCUAAACAUUCAGACUCCGAGCACAAUCACAGACCUGCCAAAGACCUUCUCAGAACCACCAGAACUUUCAUUUUAACAAACUUUCGUUUAACAAAUUCAUUCCAGUCGCUACACAAUUCUACAGCCUGAAAGCUACCAGCAUGGAUCACCUACAUCACGACAAUCUGUAAGUCAUCUCCUAACACACAGGGGAGGGACACUUUUUACCUUAUCUCCAAUGUCUUUAUAACAGAUUUUUAUACUAGCACCAUUCUAUGUUGUAAAUUAAAAUAUGCAUAUAUAUAUAUAUAUAUAUAUAUAUCAAUGUCAGUGAGAGUGGUCUCAUAUAAGAUGCAUAUUUACUUAAUGAGUAAAGACCUAGAUAUACAUAACAGAAAAUAAUUAGAAAAUGUUAUUUAUUACUAUAUACCAAGCAUGCUAGUGGCGUGUCUUCUACUAGGGAAAAUAUGCCAUUUCAUUAUUCACUAAACUUAUUUUUACAUUUUUAUUAGAUGUAUUCAUUUUAUUUUAUGUGUGUUUUGCCUGCAUGUAUGUAUGUAUACCAUGUAUGUGCUUGGUGCCCAUGGAGACCAGAAAAAUGCACUGGAUCCCCUGGAACUGGAGUUACAAGGUUGUGAACCACCAAGUGGGUGCUGGAAAUCAAACCCCAGUCCUCGGCAAGAGCCACAAGCACUCUUACCUGCUGAGCCAUCUCUCCAACUCCUCACUUAACUCCUUUAAAAAGAUGUAUUGCAUUGUUUUAUCAUGUAUGGGUAGCCUCAAGAAGCAAUUCUCUCCUGCUAUGUGUCUCGGGAAUCAAGCUCGGGGUGUCCUGCCUGGACAAGUGCCUGCUGGAGCCACCUUGUAGCCUGGCUCUAAACUUCUUUUCCAUCACUAAUUAACCAACUCUGGCAACUAUAAAUCACUGCUUUAAAGAUAAGCAAGGGCACAGUGGUUCACAUUCUGUGGGCAAUCAAUGAAAAAGGGAAUGAGUAACUACAAGCCCCUGAGUUGCAAAAGCAUUUUCUUAAUAGCAAUAGGGGCUAAAUUUUUGAACUCACUAUCUCAACUAUGAUUGCUUAUGAUAAAGACUGAUACAACAUGCAUUUACCACUUCUUAGUACAGAUAAUUACAAGGGACAAGAGGGUACCUAUUCAAAGUAACAGAGCCACUUAACGUUAAUAUUUGCAAUCUAGAAUAGUUUAUGUGCCACCCACAAUAACUCACCUGGAUUCAAGUUAUAAGAUCUGUAUUGUUAUGCAAAGCAUAAUUCAAUUAAACUGGUCAGAUGAAAAAUUAUCUGAUAAUCCUUUCCACACAAUUACAAAUCUCUAUAUAUAAAGAAGCAAAUAAACAUUUGUUUCUUUUUUUAAGUUUUGGAGUUUUUGUUUUUCAGCUUACAAAGAAUUAAGUUUCAUUACUGUGUUUUUCAAAACAGAAUUUGAUUCUGUGGUUUCUUUCCUCCUUAUUCCCCAUUCCUCUUCCUCCCUCAUCCCCUCUGUCCUCAACUCCUCUCCCAUUUCUUGAUGUCCUUCUUUUCAACCCCUCCUGUUCCCAGUCAUGGCCUCUAGUCCUCAUCUGCAUCCUCACAACUCCUCCUGUGUGGGAAGACGUCAGCGUCUUCUUACAAACCAGACAGCACUGAAGCAGCAGGAUUGACUGACCCACGGGGAGAGGCUAACUACGGGCAGUGCUUUAGCUCGCAUUUGCAAACAGGCUAAGAUGCUUCCCUCUGGGAAGAUGACUGGUUUAUAUAGUGAGGCUCUGCGGAUGCAUCCCUCAAUCCAAGAAGAUAAGCUUCUUCUCAAAGUAGUGGUCUCUUUUCUGAAAUCAUUUUUUUAAUCAAUCUUGGAUUCUGGACAAAUUAUAGAAAAGUUCCACAGUUAAUUACUUGAGAAAUUCAUUAGCUGUAUCAUAAACAUAUGAUUUUUAAUCUUAUAAAUUACAUAUUAUCUCUAUUGCCUGGAUAUUCACCUUGUAUUUUUCUGUUUCUUAGUCUCUUUAGUCUUAGGAUACUCACACAAUAUCACUAAAGAUCAAUUAUCACAACUUAGCCAGUCAUUAGAUCUGGAAUUAUGUAACAACUUAAAACACUACCACACAACUCAAUUGGUCAAAUACCCACCGUGUAUGUCCUUUUGUAGGUGGUGGAAUUGAGUCUGAUAUAGCUCCCAAAUAACCCUCCUGCUUCUACUUCCCAAGUGUAGAGAUUCUAGGUGAGUACCACCAAGUGCAGAGAUUCUAGGUGAGCACCACCAAGUACAGAGAUUCUGGGUGAGUACCACCAAGUGCAGAGAUUCUAGGUGAGUACCACCAAGUGCAGAGAUUCUAGGUGAGUACCACCAAGUGCAGAGAUUCUGGGUGAGUAUCACCAAGUGCAGAGAUUCUGGGUGAGUACCACCAAGUGCAGAGAUUCUGGGUGAGUAUCACCAAGUGCAGAGAUUCUGGGUGAGUACCACCAAGUGCAGAGAUUCUGGGUGAGCACCACCAAGUGCAGAGAUUCUAGGUGAGCACCACCAAGUACAGAGAUUCUGGGUGAGUACCACCAAGUGCAGAGAUUCUAGGUGAGCACCACCAAGUGCAGAGAUUCUAGGUGAGUACCACCAAGUGCAGAGAUUCUGGGUGAGUACCACCAAGUGCAGAGAUUCUAGGUGAGUACCACCAAGUGCAGAGAUUCUGGGUGAGUACCACCAAGUGCAGAGAUUCUGGGUGAGUACCACCAAGCCCAGUUUUCCUGUCCAACUUUUGACACUGCAACACCACAAUGCUGUCAUCUCCAACAGUCAGGCUCCAGAAUCACACAACAGAGUUACAGAUAAAUGUUUUAAGUGUGUUUACCAUCUUGUCUGAGGCCACAUGUGUUGGCUGUAUGUGGCUCAUGGGCUGUAGGUUUGACAGGACUGAAUGGGCAAAAGUCUCACAGAGGCUCAUUAAAAAUCAAACAGUAUUUGAUGCUGGUUUGGAAUCUCAGCCCUGCCAAAUAGGAGUAACUAUUUUUAAACCUAAUAUUUGAUCUCAUUAAAUUCUAGACAAACGUCUUGGCAAAGGUCAUAGACUUUUUUUUAAUGUAUUUAAGGAGCUGGAAGAAUGGCUCAUCAGUUGAGAGCGUUGGUUGCUCUUCUAGAAGACCCGGGUUCGAUUCCCAGUGCCCACAUGGCAGCUCACAACCAUCUUUAAUUCCAGUUUCAGGGAAUCCAACACCCUCUUCUGGCCUCCAUUGGCAUCAGGCACACAUGUGGUACACAGACAUCCGUACAGGCUAAACACUCACACACAUACAAUGAAAACAUACAAAUGAACUCUACCAAUGGGUAAAUUUGUUUUAAUUACAGUGAUUUUUUUAAAUCUUUUUUAUGGAUCCUCCUAGUGAUCAGCUCCAUCAAGAUGACUAGCCAUCAACAAUGAAUGCGAACUUCAAACACAGCCACAGAAGUUACUGCCAAUGCCCUGAGUACAGAGUGGAAGGGUAAUGUGGUCUGAAUCCACGGUGGGAUGGCAGAUGAGAUCUUUUCAAGAGGCAGGUUGUCCUGACCUACAGCAGUGUGUACCUGUUGUUGAGCAAAGAGCAUUCUUACUAUAGACCAAGGAGAACGGGACCAAGGAAGUGCAAGUCUGGGAGGCAUUCUGGAUAUCAAUCUGAGUGUUCUCAACUUAGUUAUUGAAAAAAAAGGGGAGGGGAAAUUUAUUCCUGUACUGCCAGAUAGUUCUGUGCCUCAGCAGUUGGGACCCAAAAGAGCAAGUAGAAUCCUCAAACUUUUCAAUCCCUCUAAAGAAGAUAAUGUCCACCAAUAUGUUGUCAUAAACACAGAAGGCGAGAAGCACCCCAAAUUCAGCAUCUUGUUAUUCCACCUGUCCUGCAACUCAAUGACCAACUGCUCUGAAGAACAACACACUAAGAAAAAUGAGGUUGCAGAAUACACUAAGCUUUUGGAAGCCAAGGAAUAACGUCAGGAACAGACUGCCAAGACACAUGACGUGGGCUGUCCUCGCUGAGAGCUUCUACUUUUGAGUGCUGACAAAAUAAGAAUCUCUGAGCCUUCCUUUCUAGUCCAUCUCCUUUGUGCCCAACUCUACUGCAACAGGCCCUGAGAAAAGUAAUUUAUUCAAAGCACAAGACAAGGUCUUCAAAAUAGCAAUUGUUCCAGGACCUUAAAGAGGACACGAAUAGAUGUCUUAAUGAAGAUCGUGAAAAUACACUUGAAUGCAAUAAGGAAAACAGUAUAGGAUAGUAAAGUAAAAUUUAAGAAAGAAAUACAUCACUAAUGAAAACCCAAACUAAAAUAAAACUCAACGAAAAAGAGGCUAUCAAACAAAAACCUCACAGACCAGUGCCUCGUUCAACUUAUGUCAGAGCAGCUGCUUCUGACAGCAGAUGGGAACUAACACAGAGACUAAACAGGACAAUGUUUAAAGACUUUGGCACACACAGCCCUAAGUGGGAUGUCUUCACCAACCCCCUCCUCAAAGCUCAGGGAUCUAUGCAGAAGGUGGAAAGAUUGUAGGAGCCAGAGGUGGUGGGUUCCACUCCAAGGAAGCAGGGUCUUCUGACACAACAGCACUGAUGCACACAUGAACUCUGACUGUGGCAGCACGCACAGAACCUGCACAGGUUCAAGCCAGAUGGGUCCCAGCACUGAGAGAGGGAUGUGGACAUGGGGUUCCACCCCUACCCCUGAAGCUAUGUGCAACUGAUACCAACUGACAAGAGAGAACAAAUCGGUUUUCUCCAGUGGAGGGAGUGUCAGUGGGUCUAUCUACCAUAUCCACGGCAGGCCCCAUGCCUAGGAGUGGCUGGGCAACAAAACAACUCCAUGGCUUUUCCUGUGGACUUUGUUUGGCUUUGUCUUGCUUUGUUUUGUCUUAUUGGUCUUUUGUUUGUUCAUUUUGAGGUUUUGUGGGUUUUUGUUUUUUGAAAGAAAGAACAUAAAGUUGGAUGGGUGGGGCGGUGGGGAGGACCGAGGAGCAAUCACAGGAGGAGAAAUACAAUCAAAAUACAUUGAAAAAAUAAAAUAAAAAAAUUUAAAAAAGACUCUUUAAGAGUAAAAAAGAUGGUCAGGCUUUGAAAAAAAUAGUGGUUGUUUCUGUUUUCCAAUUUCCUUAAUCUCUUCAGUGAAGUUGAACUGUUUCAAACAGCACAGACCACUUUGAUCUCUGGCUGUCAGGAAAUUCUUUAUGCAGAGACUGCAGAGAUGGUUCUGUAGGUAUACCACACAAAGCAGGAGGAUCUGAACUCAGAUCUCAGGACCUAGGUAAAAGCCAGGCAUGGUGGUGGGUGCCCGAACCUGUGAGGGUUUGGGGGCACGAGGCAGUGGAGACAGGCUAGUUUAGCCAAUCUGUGAGCUUUGGGCUCAGUGAGAUACCCUGUCUAAAAAUCAAGAUCAAGAGUAAUAGAGGAAAAUAUCAACCAUCAGCCUCUGGCCUCUGAGCUCACACACAGAAGAGAAUUCUCCAUGCAGAAACAGAACACACCCACUGCAUUCUAACUAAUCUGUUAUGGCUUCCUUAUACUAUGCUGACAUGUCUUGGGGCUUUCCUCAAUGUUUUCUAGUUUGCGCUUCUGUCCCAUUAGGAAACGCCCUGAGCAAACACUACAGACCAUUAUUAAUCCUUUCAACAAUUUUUUCAAACUUCAUACAUUAGUGCAUUUAAGAAUCAAUUUUUUAAGAGCUGGAGAGAUGGCUCAGUGGUUAAGAGAACCUACUGCUCUUGCAGACGGCUCAAAUUUGAUUCUCAGCACCCACAAGGCAGCUCCCAGCCACUGUAACUCCAGCUCCAAGGGGAUCUGACACACGUGCACAAGCACACACAUAAUUUAAAGAAUUAUAUUUUUAUAAAUGGCAAAGAUUGUUGAGGAAUAGCAGUCAUUGAAUCAGUGGGUCAUUUUAGCUCAGGUUAUUUGUUUGUUUAUUUAUUUAUUUUUGUUUUCGAGACAGGGUUUCUCUGUGUAGCCCUGGUUGUCCUGGAACUCAAUCUGUAGACCAGGCUGGCCUCAAACUCAGAGAUCCCUCCCUCCAAGUUCUGGGAUUAAAGGCAUGUGCCACUACACCCAGUUUAAAAAAAAAAAAUCAAUUUUUACAAAGUGCAACAGGAUUGAAAAAAAUAUCUACCAUACAGUAUGAAAGGGUUAAUGAUAUCUACCAUACAGUAUGAAAGUGUUAAUGAUAUCUAACAUACAGUAUGAAAGGGUUAAUGAUAUCUACCACAAAGUAUGAAAGGGUUAAUGAUAUCUUCUGUGCAACCUCUUUCUAAUAUGUUGAUAAACACACAUGUGGGAGGCCAGCUCCCACUUUUCCCAGAGUUCCUAUGAGGAGGCAAGAGGGAUAAGAAACUUGUAGAUAGAAAGAUAGCGAAGUGGAGAAAGACAGAAACACAGGAUAGCUUUGGGAAGACCUGGGUCAAUACCCAAUGGCCCCUUCUGCCUCUUCAAAAGGGCUUUUUAUAACAAUGCCAAGGGGCGGGGCAAAAGACCUCCCCCUUACAAAAUCAAACCACACCAUACAGCCAAAUGCAGACCCUUCCAAACCCCUGGUAACCACGCCUGUCGUCAAAUCAUCCCCUUAUGCAGCCCUACUGGGUAAAGCAAGCUCACAUUCUCAGACACUGAGUAAUUUGGGCCUACACACACACAGAAACAGAACUAAAUGAUGAACUAUGAACUAAAUGGAUAAAAUAUUUAUUAUUUUCAGUCAAAAACUUUUGAAAGCCUCUCUGAUGAUGGCUGAGAGAUGCACUGAAAUUCUCACAGGAUUAAUCAAACAUUAAAGAAAAAAACAACUUUGAAAGCCACCAGAGCGUGUUGUGGUUAGAUAAGAGAAUGUUUCACCCAGUACAUUCAUACUCGUGGCAAAAUGCUCGAUUGGACUCAGUGCAGGGGGAAAUUAGGGCUCUCUGUACCAAAAUAUAGUAAUACCCCUGGGAGAAAUAAGCAAAAACAUACACAUUUAGCUGGAACCUGAACACACAUGGGCUGGGCUAGGCCAGGGACUCAGGUUCCUAAAUCUGACUGGCCCAGGCUCUCAGUUUACAAUGAGGAGGAUGCCAGGUGCUGUUGUAUAGCUGGUCUCAUUAAAAGAUCUGAGGCUUGUCUGAUGACAGGUACAAAUGCUACAAUAUGACAUAACUUAGGAAGUGUUUACCUUCUGAUGAUACAGUUGAUAAAAAGCCUGUAUGCUGAGUAUUUUCAUAUACCAUCUUUUACUUUCUACAACAACCUGAUGAAAGGAUAUUACUCAGGGUUAAAGUUACAGACAGGAAAAUGUUCUCAAACAUACAGCUCCUGAAUGUCAAUGUUUUAUAUUUUAAAGAGUUUCUAUUUAUCUUUUCUUUUUUUUUUUUUUUUGAGACAGGGUCUCACAUCGUAGCCCAGGCUGGCCUCAGAUUCCACAUCCAAUCCCUCAGUCCAUUGAGUCUGGGUACUGGAGUGCACCACCAUACCCAGCUUAUUUUUUCCAACACAUAAUAAUUGCACAUCUCUUUUGUUUUUAAGCGGCAAACGUGCUCCAAUAUACCUCUGCAACUAGUAGCAUGGUCUGUGGAGAACUACUGGCCCAGGAAUGGUCCAUUAACACAAAUGCAACACGUUUUAAAUUCAACAUUAAACUUUGUCACUUCCAACUAGUAAUUAGGGUUUUUUCUGGGGGCGGGGGGGGGGGGGAAGCGGUUUUAAGACAGGGUUUUUCUGUGUAGCUCUGGAAUUCCCUUAUGACCAGGCUGGCCUCAAACUAAGAAAUCCUCCUGCCUCUGCUUCCCCGGGGCUGGCAUUAAAGGCAUGUGCCGCCGUGCUGUUCGUUUUGAAGCAACUAAAAUGUUAACUUGCAGUAAGUACCCCCAAAUCCAAAUUCAACCCAUUAGAGAAACGAAUGUCAGUGACGUCAAAGUCGAGCGCAUUUGUUAGUUCAUCUACCAAGCACUAACCUAAGACUCCUGGACCCGGCUAGGGGAGAGGCAAGGACGCUGAGGAUGCAGGGCUGCAGUGGCUCUGUCCAACUUGCCCAGCCAGAAGCCUGGACUUCGAGAGACAAGGCCUAAGCCCACGAAACACUAAAUAAUAAGAAUAUCACAGGGCAGUUAGUUUCCAGGAUCUUUUUAAAAGAUCUGCUUAGCCCAUGCCUUUGAUCCCAGCACUUGGGAGCCAGAGGCAGGUGGAUCUCUGUGAAUUUAAGGCCAGCCUGGUCUACAUAGUAAGUUACAGUGUGGUGAUAUAUUGUGUCCCCCAAUAUACUGUGUCUCCCAAUAAAAUUUACCUGAGGACCAGAGGAAGAAGCCAGCCACUAUAUUAACAUAGAAGUCAGGCAAUGGUAGCACACACCUUUAAUCCUAUCACUUGGGAGACAGGGAUCUGUCUGGAUUUCUGUGAGUUCAAGGCCACACUGGGGAACAGAGCCAAGCGUGGUAAAACAUGCUUUUAAUCCCAGCACUAACCAUAGAGGUCUGGAGGUCUGUACAGACAGACAGGAAGUGACAGAGCUGGGCAGGAAGAGGAAGUGAUGAAGCUGAGCUGAGAGAGCAAAUGAGAGGACAGAACAGAAAGGCAUAUGUACAUGGGCAGACAGGAAGUAGCUUGCUUUGGAAGCUGCAGAGUUGGUGAGGUGAGGUUAGCUGUGGCUUUUCCUAUUCCUCUGAUCGCUCUCAGGCUUUAACCCCAAUUUCUGGCUCCGAGUUUUUUGUUUAAUAAGACCAUUUAGUGAUUCAUCUACAUUCCAGGGCAGCCAGAGCUGUGUAGAGAGACUCUGUCUCAAAAAACAAACAAAAAGUUUAUUUAUGUGUAUGUAAUGUAUGUUUGCCUCCAUGAGUUUGUGUGUACCAUCUGUGUUCAGGGCCCCUGGAAGCCAGAGGAGGGUGUCAGCUCCUCCAUGUGGGUGAUGGGAACUGAAUCCUAGGUCUUCCUCAAGAGGAGUGAGCUCUCUUAACCAUGGAGCCAUCUCUCCAGCCACUCUUCUCUACCAAUUUUUAUUAAUAAUACAGCACGUUGUUCAGAAAUGUUGGCUUACAGAUCUCACAUCAGCAAGUACUCUCAAUGUCAUUUUACCCGAAUUUCUGUUUCACUUUCUCAAAACCAGGAAGGUAACUUGAACUAUCACGAGACUACCAAUAGCUGACCAUUUUUUAAUGUGUAGAUCUAUACAUCUACCAUUUUUCAAAUUAAUAUUUACUGAAUUGGGUAGAUGUGAUGAGUUAAUAAGAGAAGGUAUGGGGAUUUCUUCGUCCAGUACUUGACGUAUAGUAAAUGCUCAGAAAGUGAGGAGGAUUCUUUGUGGUGCUGGGGAUGAACACCAGGGCCUGGCACAUGUGUUCUGACCCUGAGCUACAUCUCUAGCCCGAGAAUGUUGUGGAAUAUUUGUUUAACUGGGCAAAGAUGUGUUCCAUUUGUUUAUGCAGUGGACUUUCUUUAACGGCGUAAAGGUGUGUCACAUUUGUUCAGCCUGCAUUUGUUUAAUUAUGUGAAGACGUGUUGCAUUUGUUUCACCUGGCCUGCCCAAAGCUCUUAGUUGGCCUAAUAAAGAGCUGAAAGGCCAAGAGUUAGGCAGAGAAAGGAUAGGCAGGGCUGGCAGGCAGAGAGAAUAACUUGAAGGAGAAAUCUAGAAGAGAAGAAGGAGAAGAGGACGGAGAGGAGAGGGACACGCCCUGGGCCAGCCAGACACGAGAAGCAGUGAAAGUAAGACAUGCAGAAGGAAGACAGGUAAAAAGCCCCGAGGCAAAAGGUAGUUAAAGAGAAACCGGUUAAUUUAAGUUAAAAGAGCUAGCCAGAAACAAGCCUAAGCUAGGCCAAGCAUUCAUAACUAAUAAUAAGUCUCCGUGUCAUGAUUUGGGAGCUGGUUGAUGGCCCAAAAGAAAAAGCCUGGUACACAAGAACUUCUGUUAUCCUGGUCUACUCUCUCCUGUUACAGCCUAGCUACCACAGGUUGACAGAUUCAUAACAUGAUCAGCAAGCAUCGCAGUAUUGUAAUGGAUCUUUCUUGUCGGACUUUCUUUGGACCACCAGCCCUGAAAUAAUGACAUGGAGACUCAUUAAUUUUGAAAGCUUGACCUUUAGCUUAGGCUUUGUCCCAACUAGGUCUUAAAUGAACCUGCUUCUAUUAAUCUACAUUCUGCCACAUGACUUUUUACUUCUCCAUUCUGGAUGCCCAACUCCUUCAGUAUCUCGCUGGAUUCUCUUACUGUCCCAAAUUCUAACUUUCAAUCUCUCUCUCUCUCUCUCUCUCUCUCUCUCUCUCUCUCUCUCUCUCUCUCUCUCUCAGUCCUGCCUAUUCUCUCCUGCCUAGCUAUUGACCAUUCAGCUCUUUAUUAAAUCAAUCACAAAGAUACAUCUUCACACAGUGUACAAUUAUCUCGAAACACAUUGUGUUCCUGAGAUUUAUGUAUGUAAACUCAUAUGCUCUUAGCCACUCAGUUGAGUGACUUGUUGAAGAUUCCCAGUGAGCCCUGAUCCAAACCUAGACCCCUUGACCAGAUGUGGUAGCACACACCUACAAUCCCACCACUCUGCAGGCUGAAGCAAGGAGGAUCAGGAAUCCAGUGGUAGUCCGAGCUACUUAAUGAGAUACCUAUUUCAAAACAAACAACAGGGUUGCGGGAGAACCUAGAUGCUGUCAUUUAAACUCUUCACUCUUCCAUCAUAUUAAAGGUAAUUUAAAUUCUUUAAUGUGUUUGUGCAUGAUUUAUAUGCUUCUCAUGCCUUACAUAUUUUACUUAAUGAUACUGUUGCUGUAACACCACAGUUUGGGGGGUGGGGUGGGGGAAGAGAAAUGUAAUCUUCUAAAUGUAUUCAGGGUGCCAAAGGAAGGAGUACAAACCAGAAGAACUUGUGAGUCUUUGUCUCCAGGAGGGCAUGCUUGCAUACUUCCUCCUGUAGGUACAGUACACCGCAAGCUUUGUUUCCAGGUGUGUGAACACUCCCCUGCAAGAGCUGCAUGCACAGGAGAAGUCACCAACACCCAGUGCUUUUCAGCUCGUGCUUUUCAUUUCCUGGUGUUGGUAGGAUCUGAUAGCAUUGCUGCUUGCCUUUUCAAACCCGUUCCUUUUGCUUGGCCUGUAACAGUCUCUACUACAUCCCCAGUGCAUGUAACUGCGGAACUCUUCUGGAAGCCCAACAAGUGUUUAGAUCAAAGCAGACAAGAAAAAAAAGUUCAUGGUGAAUUCGUUGCUGUAGAAAGAGAUACCAUUUCAUCCCCAGCUUUUUGUUUGUUGUUUCUGUGGGGUUUUUUUGUUUGUUUGUUUUUUGGUUGGUUGGUUGGUUGGUUGGUUUUUUGCUGUAUAUGAGACUAAACAACAUCUAAGAAUUAAAUUCCUUUUGUCGAAUUGUUGUAAGAAGUAUCAAAUAAGAGCCUUUUCUAACAUGCAAACGUUUUAAUCCUUACUCACUAAAACCCGUGUUUACUCAGAGGUCCGCUGCUCCAGUCUAGGAAUUGGAUGUCCUUUUCUGUUUGGAACAGGGACACCUCUGGCUUUCUCCAUUUCCUGUGUGCCAAUUCUUUUCAAGCUAGCCCAUUAAGUAAGAUUGGGAGGUCUGCCCCAGCCAGUGGGGAAAACACACAGGCACACCUUCCUUAGAGGAAGAACAGAAAAACAGGUGCACUUCCUGUCCAGGUAUGGUCCCUCCUCCCGAGCACACCCUCUUGAUCAAGAGUAACGUUUUGUCCAGACACUUCAGUUGACACCGUAGUCUCUCUCUCUUUUUUUUUUUUUACUCCAAACAUACGUUUAGUAUUAGAAGGCUACCUGAUGAAUUUAUUCUUCUAAAGUAGAUUUAAAUUCUCAAUUUUUAUUUUAACUCCCUCAGUUACCGUGUUUUUGUUUCCGUGCUCAGGAGUCACUGAGUGACACCAUCUUAAGGAUGUGGCCUGUGACAGAGCUGGGCCAGUGCCAAGGAGUCGUUUGGACUGAUGGUGGGAGAGGCCGUGGUACCCUUCAUCAGUGUGACUAGAGUGUGGCUAGCAGAGGAGCUUACCAAGAGGAGGCUUUGGGUUGGCGUCUGAAGCCCUGAGGAGCCUCUCACACUUGAGUGAGGCAGAGUUGACAGAAGUCAAUAAACAGGCAAAGCAUCUCUAUUUAAAAACACUGCUCAGUAGCUGUGUCUCAAGCACCCAGGAUUUGACAGUGUGAGGCUAAGUAGGCAAAGUCCCCGUGAGUGUGCACUGGUCCCUAUUCUUUGGUAACUUGCAGUCCAUUGGAGGAGGCUGAUGCUAGUCAUAGAACAGAAGCAAAGCCAAAUUAUACUGUGGUGGUGGUUACAAGGAAAAGGUACAAAUAUACUAAACCCACAGUGGCUUGUAAAAUUAUAGUAGGGAAUGCCGAUCUGGAGCCCUAUGAGAAGACUUUGGCCAUUAUCUAACAUGGCUUAACAAGAACCAUGGUGAACAAAGGCUAAAGAGGAGUCACCAAAACAGUGUGUGUGCCUUCAUUUUGCCCUAAUUAGAAAGGAGAAAAUAACACUGCUGUGAUGGUACUAAAAAGUACUAUGACUUAGACCAAGCAAGAUAGAAGACGGUCUAUUUUCCCAAGGAUCAGGGGUUCAAAGGGAGAAUGGUCCAAUGGGACAAUGUGAGGGUCAGGAUUGAAGAGGAAAAUUUGUUCAUAAUCCCAUAUGUUUGCGUGUAAUAAAAGUCAUACCAUUAAUAAAUGAAUCCAUUGUCUAUUAUGGUCAUGUAGGAUUGACUGGAGAGCCGCUAUGUUGUAAAAUUUGGCAGUAUAAGAUGGUGAUAGAAGAAGAGAAUAAAUUUAUUACUUUUGUUUGGAGCUGCACCGAUAUUUUGGCUCCAAGAUCAACACUUUCCUCUUAAAGUUGUGCUGUGGGAUGGUCUGUAUGUCAAAUGUGUUGCUGAUUGGUCAAUGAAUAAAUCACUGAUUGGCAGUGGCCAGACAGGAAGUAUAGGCGGGACUAACAGAGAGGAGAAAGGAGAGAACAGGAAGCUGGUUGAGGGAGACACUGCCAGCCGCCAUCAGGACAAGAAAGAUGUAAAGUACCGGUAAGCCACAAGCCACGUGGCAAAGUAUAGAUUAAUAGAAAUGGAUUAAUUUAAGCUGUAAGAACAGUUAGCAAGAAGCCUGCCACGGCCAUACAGUUUGAAACCAAUAUAAGUCUCUGUGUUUACUUGAUCGGGUUUGAGCGGCUUGGGACUGGCGGGUGAGAGAGAUUUGUCCUGACUGUGGGCCAGGCAGGAAAACUCUAGCUACAAGUUGGGAUGGUCAUGUUGUUAUAAAUGGAGGCAUGGUCUUAGUAGUCCUUACAUACUUUCUUAGCCAGUUAAUUAGGAAUUUUAAGCUUCUAUUUUUGGACUCGUAAUGUAUAGUUUGUUAUGUUUAUAGCACAUAAAUCUUCAAGUAAUUUUGGCAUCAAGUGAUAGGAAGUAGAUGCAUAACUAUCAAAGUAUUUUCUAGUGUGAAGGAUGCCUCGAUGUUAUUAAGGUAGUAUGUGAAUAUUCUUUAUGGUGUGACUAACACAUAGUGGGAAUACAGGGUCAUAACUAGUAAAAUUAAGUUCUACUAGGAUAAUAGUGAAGCUAGAUCAUCACAUUGCUAUUAAAGGAUGUAAUCUGUAAUAGACAAACUGGUAGUAUAGUUUGACUAUGAAUUUGUUCAUAGUUUGAGUUUAUGAGACAAAGCAAUGACAGCUCGUGACUGUGGGCUAUCAGGACUAAGGCGCCAUAAAACCUUCAUAACGUUUGGCUAAGAAUGACUGCAAUUACCUCUAUAUGACUUGACAGACUCAUGACUGGUGAUUUUUAAGUCUGUUUGGUGUAAAUAAGUAGCACUUGAUUUGUGGAGCCCGAUGACCCUUCAUUGGGAUAAUGUAAGAAACGGAUAGGCUGUGUGUUCUGUCGGUGUUUGGAAUUAGAGUAAUGUUUAUUAUUCUGUAGCCACCUAUUUUAUUAACAAUGCCGCUACAAGGACCGAAGAGCUAAUACCUGGGGCUUGUCUGGGUGCUUUCCGUAGGCAGAGGCCAUACAGGGUAUUCUUAACUGUGACUGCUAUUGUACUUGCUGGUCAUAGGAGACUAUUAAAUGAGGAGCUUGGUAACUCAGGAGUAGCUUAUCAAAUAAUUUAAAGAGUGCUCCAUAUAGAUUAAAGCUAUGAGUAGUCAAUCAGGGUACAAAACAGGAAAUGAAAAUGCUCUGUUUAAUCAUUCAGUUUGGCUUCCUCAGUGGGCGAUAAUAAUUAAAUUGGAGUUAGAAUAUAGAAUAUAGAGAAUAUAGAAUAGGAUUAGGUCUUUUGGCAAUAAAUACCAUGAUUAAAAAUAUUUGUAGAGAACUCUUGCUGGGCAGUGGUGCCACACACCUUUAGUCCUACCAGUUGGGAGGCAGAGGCAGGUGAACUCUGUGAGUUCAAGGCCAGCCUGGUCUACAAAAAGAGUUCCAGGACAGUCAGAGUGGUUACACAGAGAAACCCUGUCUGAAAAAGAGCAAACAAAAAUUUGUAGAGAACUCUUAAAAAUUGUGAUAGGAAUGCUGAAGUGUAGCUCUGCACAGUUGAUGGUUUCUGGUAGGGUCGGGAAGGACUCAGUUUUCACUAAGAGCUGGCCACUGGGAGUCUGACCAUGCUCCAGUGAGUAGUAUAUGGGAAACACAAAUUGGACUUGGUAUAUUUUUCUUCUUCUUUUUUGGGGGGAAAUCACAAGGAUGGAUAUGGAAGGACUGGGGGGUGAGGAUGAUUGGUGUGCAUUAUGUGAAAUUCUCAAACAAUCAAAAAUAUGUUGUAAAAAUAUUUAUAGAGGUUGGAUGUGGUGGCACAUACCUGUAAUUCUAGCAUUUAGGAGAUAGAGGCUGGAAGAUGAAGAGUUCAAGGCCAUCUUUGGCUCUGCAGAUAGUUUGAAGCCACCCAGUGGUAAAUGAGAUUCACUUACAAAGCAAACAAUCCAGGCAUGGUGCCCCAUGCCUUUAAUCCCAGAACCCAGGAGGCUGAACUUGAGACUAGCCUGGUCUACAAAUUGAGUUCCAGGACAACAAAGGCUACACAGAGAAACCCUGUCUCAAACAAUGAACAAACAAGCAAUACCCCUUAAAGCAAAGAAUAUAUGCAGAAUAAUUAAUAUUGCUUAAUAAUCAAUAUUGAGUAUUUUUGUCUUUCAUUGCUAUAACAAAACACCUAAGAUAAAGAAGAGGAAGAUUUUUGGUUGUGGUGGUGUAACCCUUUAAUCCCAGCACUAGGGAGACAGAGGCAAUCAGAUCUCUGUGAGUUCAAGGCCAUGAUGGUCUACAUGGUGAGUUCUAGGCCAGCCAGAGGUACCCAGUAGGGGUGAGGGGUUGGGGGGAGACAGACGGAGGGAGGGAGAGAUUAUUAUCAUUGACUGUUCAAAAUUGGUCAAGGAAUAUGGAAACCUGGAUUCUGUAUUGACUGUCCCCAAAUAGUGCUUCACCUCGAGAUGAACAUAAAGUCCAAAAAUCUAUUUGCCAUUAAAUGAAGAAUCAUCAUCGUCCAUUAGAGAGAACCCCAGGCUGCAGGGACCAGAAUCCAGACUCGUAGCAGGAGCAGAGAUGGCAAAUAGCAGAGGAACCUCAGGCAGGCCAAAAAUGUUCAGAAUCUCCUUUGUGAAGCGAAGGAGUUGGAUAUAGUUUCCUAUGGCUAGCUCAAUCUCCCCAAAGACUUCUCAAUAACUGGCAACUGAGAAACCAAGGAUUAUAAAGGGGCUAUUUUCAUAAGAGGAUUAAAAGAUGUAAGCUCUAUCCUAAUAUUCAGAGGUACAAUGGGAAAUUGCUCCCAUUAGAAGGUAUUGAGUUGAGAUAUUAAUAUUCAUACCUUGAACUAGUCCUGAUGUGGAUUAUCAAGUCUAAUUUGAGUACUAAGAACCAGAGAUUGGCAGCUGUAUAUGUCCAGGUAGA